rnacentral:lncRNA from 1 species
CUCGUAUGAUAGAGAUUCAAAAUCAAAUGACCGAACGGGCUUUAGAACUACUUAAUUUACCUGCUGAUGAGCCAAGUUUUUUACUUGAUGUUGGGUGUGGUUCAGGUUUAAGUGGAGAAGUUUUGACAGAAAAUGGUCACUAUUGGGUUGGAUUUGACAUUAGCAAAUCCAUGCUUGAAAUAGCUUGUGAAAGAGAAGUAAAAGGUGAUCUAUUGGAACUUGAUGCUGGAAUGGGUGUUCCUUUCAAACCAGGAACAUUUGAUGCAUGUGUCAG